GGGAAUCAGAGUCGACUUCUGCUUCAACUGGAAUGGCAAGGCUGUAGAGCUGAGAUGAGAAACUGUAAACUUGCUCAGCCAAAGGAGGCUAAUAAUGAAGGGGCCAGGGAAGGAGGCCAAUGCUACAGGGUUAUCUCCUAACCUCAGAUGUUGGAUAAGUCCAUGGAAACAGCAGCGCUUCUGGAUGGCUUCAGAAAGGCUGGAGUGAUUGUUUGGACGAGAAAAACCCGCCUAUUCAUUCAAAGAUGUUAGUCUAUCUAGAACAACAGAUUUGGAUCUAAGCUGGACCUUUGAGAAAGAAAAGACUUCGAGGAAAAACACCUUUCCAUAUGUUUUAUUACCUUUCACCUGAAUUGUUUAAUGCACACUAUCCAACUAUAUUCAUCUUUCUUGCUUCAUGUGUAUUUCUUCUU
rnacentral:lncRNA from 1 species